rnacentral:rRNA from 1 species
GAGGGGGAUAACUACUGGAAACGGUAGCUAAUACCGCAUAACGUCGCAAGACCAAAGUGGGGGACCUUCGGGCCUCACACCAUCGGAUGUGCCCAGAUGGGAUUAGCUAGUAGGUGGGGUAAUGGCUCACCUAGGCGACGAUCCCUAGCUGGUCUGAGAGGAUGACCAGCCACACUGGAACUGAGACACGGUCCAGACUCCUACGGGAGGCAGCAGUGGGGAAUAUUGCACAAUGGGCGCAAGCCUGAUGCAGCCAUGCCGCGUGUAUGAAGAAGGCCUUCGGGUUGUAAAGUACUUUCAGCGAGGAGGAAGGCAUUGUGGUUAAUAACCGCAGUGAUUGACGUUACUCGCAAAAGAAGCACCGGCUAACUCCGUGCCAGCAGCCGCGGUAAUACGGAGGGUGCAAGCGUUAAUCGGAAUUACUGGGCGUAAAGCGCACGCAGGCGGUCUGUCAAGUCGGAUGUGAAAUCCCCGGGCUCAACCUGGGAACUGCAUUCGAAACUGGCAGGCUAGAGUCUUGUACAGGGGGGUAGAAUUCCAGGUGUAGCGGUGAAAUGCGUAUAGAUCUGGAGGAAUACCG